rnacentral:rRNA from 1 species
GCAUAUCAAUAAGCGGAGGAAAAGAAACCAACAGGGAUUGCCCCAGUAACGGCGAGUGAAGCGGCAACAGCUCAAAUUUGAAAUCUGGCCCCCAGGGCCCGAGUUGUAAUUUGCAGAGGAUGCUUUUGGCGCGGUGCCUUCCGAGUUCCCUGGAACGGGACGCCAUAGAGGGUGAGAGCCCCGUCUGGUCGGACACCAAGCCAGUGUAAAGCUCCUUCGACGAGUCGAGUAGUUUGGGAAUGCUGCUCUAAAUGGGAGGUAUAUGUCUUCUAAAGCUAAAUACCGGCCAGAGACCGAUAGCGCACAAGUAGAGUGAUCGAAAGAUGAAAAGCACUUUGAAAAGAGGGUUAAACAGUACGUGAAAUUGUUGAAAGGGAAGCGUUUAUGACCAGACUUGGGCCCGGUGAAUCAUCCAGCGUUCUCGCUGGUGCACUUCGCCGGGCCCAGGCCAGCAUCAGUUCGCCGCGGGGGACAAAAGCUUCGGGAACGUGGCUCCCUCGGGAGUGUUAUAGCCCGUUGCACAAUACCCUGCGGCGGACUGAGGUUCGCGCUCCGCAAGGAUGCUGGCGUAAUGGUCAUCAGCGACCCGUCUUGAAACACGGACCAAGGAGUCGUCUUCGUAUGCGAGUGUUCGGGUGUCAAACCCCUACGCGUAAUGAAAGUGAACGCAGGUGAGAGCUUCGGCGCAUCAUCGACCGAUCCUGAUGUUCUCGGAUGGAUUUGAGUAAGAGCAUACGGGGCCGGACCCGAAAGAAGGUGAACUAUGCCUGUAUAGGGUGAAGCCAGAGGAAACUCUGGUGGAGGCUCGCAGCGGUUCUGACGUGCAAAUCGAUCGUCAAAUAUGGGCAUGGGGGGCGAAAGACUAAUCGAACCUUCUAGUAGCUGGUUUCCGCCGAAGU